rnacentral:lncRNA from 1 species
UAGAUCGCAAGGGAUGGCAGUGUUCAAUGAAAGUGAAGCCAACAACAUUCAUUGUUAGGGAUACAAAUUGUCCAAAACCAUCUCUUCUUUCUUUCCUCUUUCCAGUUCUACAGGUGGAACCCAGGGCCUCACAUAAUACCAUUGAGCUAUAUCCCUCUCCCGACUAUUUAAGUUAUAAGCCGCAAAGGUAUUUCUAUUGUAAGUACUGGUUACUUAGUUUCUCUCUUUCUCUCUCUCUCUCUUUUGUUUUUUGAGGCAGGGUUUCUCUGUAUAUCCUCGGCAGUCCUGAAACUCACUCUGUAGACCAGGCUGGCCUCUCAGAGGUCCACCUGCCUCUGUCUCCUGACUUGAGUGCUAGGAUUAAAGGAGUGGACCACCACCACCCCUCUAUAGUCUUUUUAUUUUUUACAUCAAGAUAGGGCUUCUGAACUCACUACUCUGCAGACCAGGCUGGCCUUACCACCACCCAUACUUAUAAUUUUAUUCUCAUGAAAACAAGUCCACACCCAGUCUCAGUUCCCUUGCACUUAGAUCACAGAACAGGAAGUUCCUGUGGCUGUCUUCAGUUCUCUUUUAGGCUUUCUUAGGAGAGGAGCAAGUUUUACACACUCUUAGGCCCAGGGACAUUUGAAUGAAAGGCUCUGUAGCUGUGCAAUUGGCUUCUAUCACUAAUCUUGAGUCAUAUCAGACUUUUGAAGAUGUAAGUUGUGCUGGGCGUGGUGUUGUACACCUUCAGUUCCAGCACUCAGGAGCAGAGGCAGGUGGAUCUCUGUGAGUUCAAGGCCAGCCUGGUCUACAGAUGGAGUUCCAGGACCGCUAAGACUACACAGAGAAACCCCAAAAGCCAAAAACCAACCAACCAAACCAACAAAAAUCACACCGUGUCUGUGGGUCCUGUACCUUGCUGCUCAUCUCAAGUCACUUCAGGGGCACAGCCAUGCCACAGAUCAAAUAUACAAUGCUGAGCAGGUGGUGGUGCUACACACUUGUGGUCCCAGCUCUUGGGAGAUGGGGGCAGGUAGUAGUUUAACUGAAUGUCUCUCCAUAGUUUCAGACAUUUAAACAUUUGGUCAUAAGCUGGGGGAGCUAUUUGGGAAGGCUAUGGAACCUCUAGACGAUGUGACUAUGCAGUCAGAAGUAUGUCAUUGCAGGAGGACUUUGAAAGUGUACAGCCCUGCCCCAGUUUCAGUUAGCUCUUUGCUUUCUGUGUGUGGUUCAAGAUGUGACAUCUUGCCGGGAGGUGGUGGCACACGCCUUUAAUCCCAGCACUUGGGAGGUAGAGGCAGGUGGAUUUCUGUGUUCAAGGCCAGCCUGGUCUACAGAGUGAGUUCCAGGACAGCCAGAGUUACCCUGACAGCCAGAGAAACCCUGUCUCAAAAAACCAAAAAAAAAAAAAAAAAAAAGAAGUGAUAUCUCAGUUUCCUGACACCAUGCCUGCCUGCCUGCCUGCUGCCUCGGCUUCCCCAUCAUUAUGUACUGGAUCCUCCUGAAACCGUAAGCCAAAAAUACACUCUCAAGUCGCCUUGAUCAUGGUGUUCUAUCCCGGUAAUUUCAAGUAAACAAGGCAGGAGGGGUCAGGAGUUCAAAGCCGUCCCUGGCCAGGUAAUGAGUCCAAGGCUGCCCCGGGCUAUAGAAGAUAAUGAUAGUCCCGUAAGAUUAAGUUGCCUAUGCCAGGUGAUGGUGGUACUUGCUUUCAGUUUCAGUAUCUGAGAGGCUACACAGAGAAACCCUGUCUUGAAAAACCAAACCAAACCAAGCAACCAAACUAGACUGAGGGAGCAAAGAACCUAUUCAUCCCUUCAUUGCACUUCAGCUGAGGAUCUUAGCCAGGCGAGGUCUCUUCCUUUGAUGUAAAUUGCUCUUCUUUUCCAGUCAGAACACCUGCACUGCAGCCCCAAAGCAGCACUAACUGGCUGUGGCACUUUGGGUGUGGAUUAAUUAAUCACAGCCCCCAUAUGCAGACUUACUCUUGCUAUAAUGAGUGAAAUAAUUCAGUGGGCAGCAAUGGAAAACACUAAAGCAUUAAACAUCUGCAGCAGGGAAAAGUGACACAGGACAUGGCACAGCCUGGCUUCCUUCCCUUUCCUCCACUUCCCGCUGUGUGGCAGAGGUCAGACAGGCUCUCAGAUCCAAAUCACAGAAUCCAGGGACACGGUGGGGAUGUCAUACACACCUAUGCCAGACUUCUGCAAAAGACACACACACACACACACACACACACACACACACACACACACAGAGAGAGAGAGAGAGAGAGAGAGAGAGAGAGAGAGAGAGAGUCCAAGAGAAGGUUCUUAGUGUCUAGGUUUCUGAUGUCCCUUACAGAUGGGGCUGUAAGGUUUCUACUAUAUUGGUGCCGCUCGGUUCCAGGAGCUACUAUUUGUCCGAGAAUCACAAGGCCUCUUUGGCCUCGCGGUUCACACUCCGGAGCAGCUCACUGGAAAGCUGUUCUUUCUGUACGGGGUUGAGCGCCGCAGCCAGGCAGCGGUGUUCGGCAUGGUCCCUACCACCUCUGUCCAAUCACCUCCUUUGGGACGCUUUCCCAGUUAAGCCAAUGUGAUCCUUUCAUGGACAUCUUUCUGGUCCCGUAUGAGGCGGAGCAUCUAUCCCUAGCUACCCACAGGAGCUGCGCCUUUGUCAUUUUCUCAGACUCUUUUCUAACUCCCAUAAGCCUAUCGAAGGGGUGGGGGUGGGGUUUAAAUUCCUGGCUCUGUCUUUUAAGAUGCUGGGGUUAAAAUGUUCUGGGCUCCAGACAAAACUGUGGAAAACACGUUCUCAGCACUUAUAGAAAGUAUUUCCACCCCCCGAGAAUAGUAUCCACGCCUCAUAAAGCAAGCUCAAGCGGUUCCGGAACACAAGAGCACUGGCCCAGUUCCCGCCUCCUUCGGCCCCAUCAAGUGUCAUUGUUCCUAGGUUCCGGGCAGCGAGCAGCGAAAGCCAGUCAGGCUGGACCAGCCGCAGCUCCCGACUCCCCUUCCCCAAGCAGGAUGCGAGGCGGGGUGGGGGUGCGGAGCCUCAAGUCCGCAGCUGCCAAUCACCGCGCAGCGCACGUGCCGCACGUUUCCCGGCUCCCGGCGGGGGCGCAGGGCACGCGCGGGGGUCCGCGGGCUGGGGGCUGGGCUGCUAGGAAGCCUGGAGUGUGAACGCGCGGGGUGGGGGUGCACAGAGAGGUGUGAACGCGCAGGAGGUCCGGGGAGAUGCUCAAGGGUCUGGGAGAAGAAUGCGCUGGCUGGAGGAAUUCCUCCUGGGAACUCUGUGCCGAGUGGGAUCUGCCCACUGUGUGGCUGCUUCCUGGGUAAUUAGGGGAGCUCCAGGAAACCUCUAGUUCUGUUUCCUUCUCUCUAAACACUGGACCUUAAACAGGUGGAGAAGGUCUGUUGUUGAUUUGCGGGUAUACCACCACCAACGCCAACGGCACGGAGUUCAAAGGUUGGGCUCCGGAGCACCUGCUCAGAAAAAAGCAGAUCGGCCUUCUAUACCCCUCGGUCUUCUCCACCGUUCCACCGCCAGCCAAAAUGUGAAGAAGUGCUCCUUUCUGGUAGUGGCUUUCAAACACCAAAUAUGCAAACGGAGGGUUGAAGCCCAGGGAGCAGAGGGCUGCCCAUGAGAUGCGUUUCAGGCCGGUCCCACCUGCCCAGUGUUAGAUGGUUGUUUGUUAGGCAGAGUCUUCCUAGGUACCCAGUUGCCUUGGCACUCGAUGUGGAGCCCAGGAUGGUCUCGAAUUUGUGGUAAUCCUCCUGUCUCAGCCUUCCAGGUGCUGAGACUAUAGGCCUGUGCCACCACAGCCUGCUCCAUUCUAGGCACUUGUUCACUGUUUGGUCGUGUGAAGCAGAAAUUAAGAAGGUGGUAGAAUGAGAACUUUUCUGGGGAGAUAUUUUAGGUCCUGGGUGUAUGUCAUGAGUCUCUGAAUGCUGGAUUGGUGUGCCUGUAGCUCCCUGGGCUGUAUAGUUUACACAAUGGCCUGUAACAACUUCUCAGAGAAGAGCUCCCUUUGAAGUGUGGGCAGGAUUUGCAUUCUCCUGACUUCACUAGUCUGUUGUCUCAGUGGCUCCUUUGAUGUGGUGGUGACCAGGCUUAUUAGAGAUCAGCCACCAGGACCAAAUAGAUCAACCAUCCCUUCAAGUUCACCUCGGCCGGGAUGUACAUGUCAAAAAGGCAAACUGAGAUAUGGCAGAAAGUAUCGCAAAUUUUCCUGUUUUCUGUCUUUAUUACGUGAAUUCUGAACACUUUUUUUUUUUUCCAGAUGUGCUAGUUUCUUUGAGUCUAGGAAAUUAUAACAAAACCUUCCAGGCUGAAGUGCUCUGCCUCCCUAUGUUACUGUGUUUAAUUCUCAGAGUAACCCUGAGGCUGGGGACUUGUCCACACUUCAUGGAGGAGAAAGGGGAGGCUUCAGCCGUGCAGCUGUGGGAUCGAGGGCCAGACUCUUGGCACUUCGCCUUCACUGAGAGUUAAUUGGGUUCCUUAAAUGAAUCCAACCAUACAAAACACUCACAUCAGUACCUGGCACACGCUCUGUGCACCCUCCGCUCUUGCAACACUCUUAAAAGGCUUGAUUGACACUGAUCUCUUUCACUUUAUUAGUAGGAAUGUUAUUGCCUGCCUGCAUGUAUGUGCACCGUGUGCAUUCCGGAUGGUCUCCUGGGACGGGGUUAAGGAUGAUGGUGAGUGGCUGUGUAGGUGCUAGGGAUUAAACCUUGGUCUUCGAGAACAGGUGCUCUUGACUGCUGAGCCUCCUCUCUAGUCCUGUUGCAAGCAGGGCUUGCAUUCCUGUAAGCAGUGGGUGCAGAAGAGCUUUGGCUUUUCUCUGGCUACAAGAGCCUCCACUUGGUGUUGGAGAAGCCUUUCCGUGGAGAUCUUCUCUUAGGCUGUAUCUGUUCCUUCCUUCCCCACUGGGGAAUAUUAUCAGAGGCAAGCUGUUCGGCUCUCUGCAGGGUACUUUGAUGUUCUUGAGUUGGAAUAGAAUGGAAUGUGGCGUUUUGUUUUUAUUGACACAGUGUCAAUAAAAACAUAGUAACUUUACCUUAACAUUUCACAAAGUAAAGCAAUAUUAUUUACUAAGCCUUUUUUUUUUUUUGGUUUUGGUUUUGGGAGACAGUUUUUCUGUGUUGCCCUGGCUGUCCUGGAACUCAGUCUGUAGACCAGGCUGGCCUGGAAUUCAGUGAUAUACCUGUCUCUGCCUCCUGAGCCCUGGGUUAAAGGCAUGUGCCACCAUGUUAGGCUUCCCCUACCACUGGGUCUCAUGUAACUCAAUAUACAGCCAAUAUGACCUUAAACUGUUCCUACUCCCACUCCCCUAUGUUGGGAUUACAUUCCUGCUAUACCCCACCUGGCUGAUGCCUUACACUUUUAACAGUGUUAUGAGUUGAUUGUGUCCUUCCACGUUUGUAUAUUGAAGUCUGUCUUAGGGUUUACUGCUGCGAACAGACACUAUGACCAAAGCAUUUCUUAUAAGAACAACAUUUAAUUGGGGCUGACUUACAGGUUCAGAGGUUCAGUCCAUUAUCAUCAAGGUGAGAGCAUGGCAGCAUCCAGGCAGGCACGGUGCUGGAGGAACUGAGAGUUCUACAUCUUCCUUUGAAGGCUGCUAGAAGACUGGCUUCCAGGAUAGCUAGGGUGAGGUCUUAAAGCCCAUGCCCACAGUGACACACCUACUCCAUCGAGGCCACACCUCCAAAUAGUGCCACUCUCUGGGCUAGGCAUACUCAAAGCACCACAAAGUCCUAAACUCUUCAAGUGUGAUUAGGAAUUGAGAUCAUUGCAGAUGUAACUACUUAAGAUGAGGUCAUACCAGAUGGAGUUGGUUGGGCCCCUAAUCUGUUAUGACUUGUUUCCUUACAAAACGAAGCCGUCUGAGCACAGACCACACAGAGAGAAUGUGCAGAGAGAACAGCACAUGAACGUAAAGACAGAUAUGGGGAUGUGUGUUCACGAUCUGGGCGAGGUUGACAGCAUACCUCAGAAGUAGACAGAGCCUCAAACAGAUUUACCUUCCCAGCACAGAGGCCACCUGCCUGCUGGUACUAGGAUCCUGGAUGCUAAGUUUGAUCAUAGAGACACCCAGUUUGGGGAUGGCAUUACGACAGGUCAGCCAUGCACUACACAGGAACCAGAGUCUAAGAAAGGCUUUGACUGGGAUAGGGUACUAAGAUUUUAGAAAUAUUACUUCAGGGGCUGGAGAGAUGCCUCAGCAGUUAAGAGCACUGACUGCUCUUCCAGAGAUCCUGAGUUCAAUUCCCAGCAACCAAUGGUGGUUCACAACCAUCUGUAAUGGGAUUUGAUGUCCUUUUCUGGUGUGUCUGAAGACAGCUACAGUGUACUCAUAUGCAUGAAAUAAAUAAAUCUUGAGAGAGAGAGAGAGAGAGAGAGAGAGAGAGAGUUCAAAGAGACUGAGAUGACCAGUUCUGUAUAAAAUUGCUUUAUCUCACUUUCUAACAGUGUGGUAUAUGCACAUAAUUUAGAAAAUGCGAGAGACUAAUUACAUAACAACAUGAAAAUUAGAAUUGUUCUUGGCUUCUCAACUCUGUAGUCCUCCCAACCCCCAACCACACCCCAUAUGUGCUAUUAUUUUUCUAAAUAACAUGCUGAUAUCACCGUUUCUGUACUUUUUGUUUUGUUUCGUUUUGUUUUUCUGCAAUGCUGGAAGUUAAACCUCAGGCCUGUAGUGACUGUCAGGUGCUCAAUUGCUGAACUAAACCCAUACCUUUUUUUCCCUUCCACUUUUGAUUUUAGACAAGGUCUCACUAAGUUGCCUAGGUAGGAACUGAAUUUCCAAUCCAUCAAUCCUUCUGCCUCAGCCUCCAGAAUGCUAUUACUAGGCCCAGGUAUUUUCUAUUUGGAACAUCAUGUGUUCCCUUCCCCAGGGUAGAAGAGGAAUUUGUCUUCUGGACAUAGACCUGGUCACCAGUGGAUGCCUUUGGUCAACACAGGCUCAGGAUGAAUUCGCCUCAGGGUUAUGUAACUAAUUUUUUUUUCAAAACCUAUUUUCUUUUCUUUUUUUCUUUCUUUUUUUUGUUGUUGUUUUUUUUUUUUUUGUUGUUGUUGUUGCUGUUGUUGUUUUUUCGAGACAGGGUUUCUCUGUAUAGCCCUGGCUGUCCUGGAACUCACUUUGUAGACCAGGCUGGCCUCGAACUCAGAAAUCUGCCUGCCUCUGCCUCCCGAGUGCUGGGAUUAAAGGUGUGCGCCACCACGCCCAGCCUUCAAAACCUAUUUUUAAUGAUGGUUCUUAAACGCUUUAACCUCCCUUGUAGCCCACCACCCACCAGAGGUAGUGGGAAAGAAAGGAUACAGGGAAAGUGUUUAGAAAGGUUUUUUGGAGCAACUCCAGUCUGUUUGGAAAUCAACAGUUCAGUUCACAGGUUAGCAGGCAUCAGUAACUCAAUCCACUUGCAAACACUUCAUGGGUAUACCAGCAGUCCAGUUCAGUAGAGUCGAGUUAGCAAUGAUGGUCAUACAACCUAGCAGAGACAGCCAGGCCCCAGCCUCAACACUCAGCCUCAGAGUCAGCAGGAGAGACCAGGAGGAAUGCUAGGAGAAGUUCUCAGCUAUGCUUCUCUCAGGGAAACGAAGAUCAGCGAAGACCCACAAGCAUUGCACAGCUAGCUCUAUAAGCAAGCCAAGCUCUGCCUCCAUCACUUUUUAUACUCCCUCCAAACAUCACGUGUCCUCCAUGGGUCUUGCCUCAGCAUGUGAGUCUGUCUAAGAUGACAUCAUCCUGCCAAUCAGCCCGAGUCUGAGGAGGCGGCGAGAAACUGCAGCAUGCCACCAGAAGUUUUUUGGUGUGUUUCUACCUAUGGUACCUGACAAAUGGAGCUCAACUACACAGUGUAAGGCAGGCCAAUAUGUGCAUGUCAUUAGCAAAGAGUCCUUCAUCAUGUGUUUUUUCAUGUGCUUGCUUUAGCAGAACAUCCUCUCUCCUGUGUCUGCUUCAUUGAAACGUUCCUUCACGAGUCUGCCUUCACCUAUGUCCACCAAAGCUAAACGUUCCUUCAUGGGUUUAACCCAGCCAAGCACCAAACAAUGGACUUCCCAAAGAACCCCUAAGCUUCCACUCAAGGUUAUGUGUCAUUUUGUGAAUAGCUAGAGAGGCAGUGAUUUUGAACCUAGAGACAUUGAUGUCUGGUUGAUUGGCUUGGCAAGGUAGGGUGUUGCUGGAUGCUGCUAACAGUAGAUACAGAGAAGUGUUUGGUUUCAGCACCCUGGGACAAAGGACUGAGGUGCAUAUCUUAGAUACCAACCUGGCCUCCAGGUUCUCCCAGCAUCCUUCAGUCCCUACCUGGCAUACCCUGUCCCCAACCCUGAACUUUCCAGCCUAGGGGCUGGGCUGCCCUUCCCCCAGAGGCUCUUCCCUAGAUAAUCCAGACAUUUUAGUCUCCUCCAUCUCUCUCUUCUCCCUCUCUCCUCUCUCUGUGUGUGCACCCUUUGACUCCCUCUCUUCCCCUCCCCCCUCUCUCUUCCUGUGGUGACUUUCCUGAUCUUGGUCCUUGGGGCUAGUGAACUCAUCCAUCCAAGAACAGCAUCCCAAUACACCUGUAUUUAAUACAAUUUAAUCUGGUUUGAAUUGGCUUAUAUCACCAGUGGAGAAAUAACUUAUCAAGAAGAAUAUAUUUUCUUUACCUGGGUUGAGUCCACACUGUGAGCCCAGCUGUGGAUGAGGACUUUAGAGACCAGCUUCUGAGAAUUUCGAAUACAUAUAGGGUUGUAUCAUGAAAAGUAGAAAAAAAAUUUGUUGAAAAUUAAAUACGUAGUGCAGCCACAGUGUUUCUGGGUAUACUCUUCCAUUCUUGUGCCCUCACAAGCCUUGGUUGUAAGCAUACAACGUGAGCACUUUGCACCAUGAAUGUCAUUGGGCCAUGAAGUGCCAAUGAUAACUGUCCAUACAUAUCUCUACUUAAAUUCAAGAUUAUUGUAUAGGGUUGGGGGUGUAGCGCUCUUGGUAGGCUGCUUACCUAGCAUACACAAAGCCCUGGGUUUGAUCUUCAGCUCUGCAUAAACUGGGCAUGAGGGUACAUCCCUGUACACAGGAGGUGCAGGCAGGAGGAUCAGAAGGUCAAGGUCACACUGGGCUACAUAAAAUUGUAGAGGCCAUACCAGAAUAUAUGAUAGCAUACCUUAAAACACACACACAUACACCAUUGUAUGUUAUGACUGUACUAUUUUUAUUGAACACAUAUUUCUGCUCUUAUAGAAGCAAAAUGGUUUAAUAAGAGAACAGACUUUCAGUCUUUUUCUACAGUUAUAUAAGUAUCAAAUCAGCAUAUCUUGUAUUGUGAGUUGUAUUGUGUGAGAAUGUUGGAUGUUAGAAGUUGGAUUUCAGCCAGGCAUGGUGGUGCGGACCUCUAAUCCCAGCAUUCAUAGGCAGAUACUGGUGGAUCUCUCAGUUCAAGGCCAGCCUGGUCUGCAGAGUGAGUUCCAGGACAGCCAGGACCACACAGAGAAACCCUUCUCAAAAACCAAAAACAAAACAAAGAAGUUGGAGCUUCAUAAAAAACAAAUACAUGAGUUACGGUUUAUGAUUAGGAAAGAAUUUCUAACAAUUUCUGAAAUGGC